rnacentral:rRNA from 1 species
AAUCAACGCUGGCGGCGUGCCUCAGACAUGCAAGUCGAACGAUUAAACUUUCCUUCGGGAAAGAUAUAAAGUGGCGCACGGGUGAGUAACACGUAGGUAAUGUACCGUAGGGUGGGGAAUAACAAUCGGAAACGAUUGCUAAUACCGCAUAAUGCAGAGGCACCGCGAGGUGACAGUUGUUAACGGAGCAAUACGCCUUAUGACCAGCCUGCGGCAGAUUAGCUAGUUGGUAAGGUAAUGGCUUACCAAGGCUACGAUCUGUAACCGACCUGAGAGGGUGGUCGGUCACACUGACACUGAAUAACGGGUCAGACUCCUACGGGAGGCAGCAGUCGGGAAUUUUGGGCAAUGGGCGAAAGCCUGACCCAGCAACGCCGCGUGAAGGAUGAAGUCUUUCGGGAUGUAAACUUCGUAAGAAUAGGAAGAAUAAAUGACGGUACUAUUUGUAAGGUCCGGCUAACUACGUGCCAGCCGCCGCAGUAAUAC